UACGAAGGGAGCUAGCGUUGUUCGGAAUCACUGGGCGUAAAGCGCACGUAGGCGGAUGUGUCAGUCAGGGGUGAAAUCCCGGAGCUCAACUUCGGAACUGCCUUUGAUACAGCACAUCUGGAGUCCGGAAGAGGUGGGUGGAAUUCCUAGUGUAGAGGUGAAAUUCGUAGAUAUUAGGAAGAACACCAGUGGCGAAGGCGGCUCACUGGCCCGGUACUGACGCUGAGGUGCGAAAGCGUGGGGAGCAAACAGG
rnacentral:rRNA from 1 species